CCCCAGUCAUCCUGUGGUGGCUGUCCUUCUGGGUGGUAUGCAGAGGGAUGGUUUUCCAUAAUAAAGCAAUCAUCUGGAUUUAAUUGCAGAUACCUAAUCCUCUCACAAGGUACUCCUGUUUAGUUUUGUGAAGUGAACAAAGACAUCAACUUAGACAUGCUCCGGGCUGGAUUCGGGUACCUCUGAGAGCUUCUGAUCAUUCCUGUGAUUAGCCAGCCUGAUCUGGAAAACAUCUGAAGGAGCAGACAUGACAGCUGGGACAAACCCAUAUCUCUCAAGACUCCUGCUGCUUUUUUAUGGUGUGGAAGCAGAGUGGGAUUUGAAGAGUUGCCUUACAGGAUGGGAAGGGGGCUGCAAUGCCUUGCUGUUCAUAUGAAUUGAUGGGAAGAAAUGCCUUCCCCAGAAGCACUGUGUACAGCAGCUGGGCACCCCAGGCUACAGCAAUUCGGAGAAACAGCUUCCCUUCCCAAUUCACCUGCUCCUUUCUUGGGGGUUUCUUGCCAUAUCAUGGCACUGUG